AAAGGGUUUGGUCCUGGCCCUCCCAUCAGUUUUUUCUCAAAUUAUACAUGCAAGUCUCAGCACCCCCGUGAGGACACCCUUAUCCCCUUACCCAGGCUAAGGAGCUGGUAUCAGGCACAACAUCUGCCCACAACACCUAGUCUUACCACACCCCCAAGGGUAUUCAGCAGUAAUAAAUAUUGUUUAUAAGCGACAGCUUGACUCAGUUAGAGAGAAUAGAGCCGGCCAACUCGGUGCCAGCCGCCGCGGCUAAACCGCACGGGCUCAAAUUGAUGACAAUCGGCGUUAAGCUUGAUUAACGUCCUCUCCUAAUUAGAAUGAAAUCCACACUUAGCUGUGAAAAGCUUGAUGUGAGAGAAGAUCAAAAACGAAAGUUAUUCUAAUCAACUACUUGAAUACACGACAGCUAGGAAACAAACUGGGAUCAGAUACCCCACUAUGCCUAACCGUAAAAUAUUAACUCACACCCACCAACGCCCGGGUACUACGAGCCCCAGCUUAAAACCCAAAGGACUUGACGGUGUCCCACCCACCUAGAGGAGCCUGUUCUAUAAUCGAUGAUCCCCGCUAAACCCAACCCCCCCCUUGCAAUCAGCCUGUAUACCUCCGUCGUAAGCUUACCAUAUGAAUGUUCUCAGUAAGUCUAAUGGCUAUAAAACCUUUUUGCUUCAGGUCAAGGUGCAGCUCAUGGGGUGGUAGGCAAUUGGCUGCAAUUUCUAAUUUUAAACAAUCGAAACACUUUAUGAAACUCAGUUAUGAAGGCGGAUUUAGUAGUAAAAAGAAAGUAGCGUGUUCUUUUUAACUAGGCCCUGGGACGUGUACACACCGCCCGUCGCCCUCUUCAAUAGUUACAUAAAUAGAUUUAUAACCACUCACUACGCCUUAGAAGAGGUAAGUCGUAACAUGGUAAGUGUACCGGAAGGUGUACUUGGAAUAA
rnacentral:ncRNA from 1 species